rnacentral:rRNA from 1 species
UACGGGGGGAGCUAGCGUUUUUCGGAAUCAUUGGGCGUAAAGCGCACGUAGGCGGCCUGAUAAGUCGGGUGUGAAAGCCCUGGGCUCAACCCAGGAAGUGCACUCGAAACUGUCAGGCUUGAAUAUGGAAGAGGGUCGCGGAAUUCCCGGUGUAGAGGUGAAAUUCGUAGAUAUCGGGAGGAACACCAGUGGCGAAGGCGGCGACCUGGGCCAAUAUUGACGCUGAGGUGCGAAAGCGUGGGGAGCAAACAGG